CCGAGGCGUAAGCAAAUUUUUCAACUCUUACAAGCGUGUAAUAAUUGCAGUGGGUUUGCCUGAAAGUGGGUCUUCAAAUGAAAUUGAACUUAGGGCUUCAUUCAACCUCAGGUCAGGUGCCUGCCCAACCACCUGACUUGAAACCCAGUCAGGCUCUGCUUUCUAAAAUGUCCUUGUUUAAGUACAUCAAAGAGUUAUCAGCAGGAAGGAUCAAUUUCUACAUACCAGGACAAAACACAACCAACGACCCCUUGGAAGGGUGCAGGUGGGCGGGCAGAAACGGUUUUCACGCUUCCUGUUCAAAGGCACCUUCAUGAAAAAGUGCGACACAGUGGAAGGAGAGAGCAACCGACGUUUUUGCAGAUCUGUGACGAUAGAUCUACGGUGACACCUCAAUCCUCACAUGGAAAAGAAAAACACACGGCAAAGAAAGAUGAGUUCAGCGUCAUCAUGAUAGAGGAAACCUGAGUAAAGCUCUUAUUUGCUCGAAACCAAACAUCUGAUGUGUUCAGUGAUUGUUUUCAACUUGAUUUUUUGGGACAAAUCAUUGUUCAAAUUAUUUAUCAAGCAAUUUCCUUCUAACUAAAGUCCUGACACACUGUAAGCUACGUUUUAUAUUACCAGUGAUAGUGAGAAGAUGAGGAAAUGACAAUAAAGCCCUGUUAUUACUCCAAAUAAGGAAAUGUGUCAUGUGUUAUGAACUGAGCAUGAGGACAUACAGUCAGUUUUCAGUUUACACGUCUACAAAGCUAUAUAUAGCUGUAUUUCUUGGAGGUUUCUAGUAAAUUGUAUUAAGCCGACAGACGCUCCUAUCAAAUAGUCCAUAGCAUAAACAUCUCAGCAGGCUAAAUACAGAUAGAAAUCUUGAUAUACCCUAACUGUACUGCCCUGUAAAGCUUAUACUGCAGUUGCACCAUGGAUGCUUACAGCACUUAAUCAAAAAAUACAGGCAAUUUGUGUGACAUCAGGAAAUGUGAGGUGCUAAAACGGGAUCAGGCUGUCCUGGACUCCAAGUAGAACAGCAUGUUUUUUUUCUUGCUUUCUGAUUUUUCUAAACAGAGGUUGAAAUAAAUCAUCUCUCUUUAUAAAAUAUCUAGGCAUAUUCAGACAGACCAUAUGUUUUUUUCUAAGCUUUAUGUGUACACAUUAAAAUUCAGUUAUUUGGAAACAAAUGAAAAACUUUCUCCCCAGUAGGAAAACGUAAAACACCAUUUAAUGAAGAUGACGUAUCAGUAAAACAUUUCUUGCAAAAGUAUUCGUAACUUUUUUACACAAUUUUUCAUAGUACAACCAGGAGCCUUGGUGCAGUCUUGUGGAGAAAUGUCACAUUUUAUGGCAAACCUAUAAAAUAAGAAUCCUAAAAGAGUGGAGUGCAUUUACAUUUAGCCAUCCUGAGUCAUCAAUUGUGUUGUAAAUUACAGACGCAAUUAUAACUGCCAUUAUAGCUGCAGGUAUUUUGGGUAUGUUUCUAUCAGCUUUGUACAUCUACCUAAUUCAUUCGCUUGAUUCCUCUCUGAAUAGCUUCACCGUUCCUGCUGAAGAACACUGUCCCCAUAGAAUGAUGGUGCCACUACCAUGUUUCACCAUGGAGACAGUGUAUUCAGGUUGAUGUGGGGUAUGGCAGAUAAUUAAACUUGUUCUCAUUUAACCAGAGCACCUUUGUUGUGUUCCCUAGAUGGCUUGUGGCAAGCAGAAAAUGGUACCUCGUAUGACUGCCGCUCAGCAAUUGAUUGUUCCUGCUACACUCCCACAAAUGCAUGACUAAUAGUUGUCCUAUCGAAGAUUUGUUUAUUCAUUAUCAAGAGCCUCUAGGCUGCUUCUCUGAUUAAUGCUCUUCUUGCCCAGCCAUGUCUUUGUAGGUUUACAGCUCUGUCAUUUUCCACUUUUUGGAUGAUGGAUUAAGCAGUGCUGGGUAAGAUGUUUAAAGCUCCUUUCCUACCUAAUCUGGCGUUAACUUCUCCACAACCCCUCACCUGUCUGCUCUGUUCACUGGUCUUUAAAAUGGGGUACAGAUUUUGUUCACUAAUGUUUUCCAACAAAACUUCUGAGCCCUGCAACUGUUCAUUUUGUUUGGGUGUAUCAAGAUAAAUAGGGCUGAAUACAAAAAGCACACUACAUUUUCCUAAUUUUGUUUAGGUAAAAAAAUUAAAACCAUGUGCAUGUUUUCCUUCCAUUCCACUGUUACUUGGAAAUUUUGUGGUGUAUGUCAAACAAUUAAAAUGAAAUAAAGUUUGUUUUUAUAAUGUGACAAAAUGUUAAGCAGCUGUUAACUGGCUUGCAAACUUUUGUGAAGAUGUUUUGUUUUUGUCUUAAACUCAAAUGUUGGGUGUCAUCUUCAGGCAUUAAAUUGAUUGAAGAAUUUUGUAAUUUUCUAAACAAAAUAUUAUUUCAUAAAAAAAAUGCUAGAGUAUUGCUGUCAUAAAAACUAAACACAUCAUACAUCUUAGAAUAUCUUCUGUUGCAUAGUCUGAGAAAAUAGAAUGAAAGCAAACCUAUAAACCACAGCUAUAUUAGCUUUAAGUUGAGAUGAAAAAUGUGUCCCCCGUCCCCUUUAAUUUGUUUUCAACAUUUUCUCAGUUAUCUAUUUCGGAUUCUUGGAAGACAGCCAUAACAAGCUCUCUUUUCUGGGGGCAAAAGUUCAGGGAUGAAAGGAAUCGCUUGGGAGAUUACUCCCAUGUACGUAACAUGGACGCCUGGAACACAAACAAAGAGCAUUAUGCUGCUCAGCUUUAUUUCAGUCAGAGCGUGCUGCUCCUCAGACACUCUGUCCACCUUUUUAGCUUUCAUAUCACCAAAAAAAGAGAGGAGUUUAGACUCAAUUUAUUUUCUUACACAGAUCCUCCCGCUGCCAUGGGGUCUCCUUGUCGCUGUUUAAAUAAAACAUCUUUUUUUUCAUACAUCCACUCAGGGCAGUGUUUUUCAAUCAGAUUAGUACAGCACAUUCUGUUCUGUUUCACUUCCUGAUGACUGUGCACAGCCUCUAUCCCUGAAUGAACUUACCCUCGUGCUUCUGGUUACAGCAAGGCACUCAUUCAGACACACGUAUGCUUGCACACCGCCUGUUAGAUUUCAGGACCUUGUACAAUACUUGGCAAAUGUGUCAAGCAAUUGUAAUUUCAGUAAAGUGACAUUGCUUAUUUAUGAAGAUCUGCAAACAUAUACACAGAAAAAUAGAGUCUAAAAAGCCACAAGUAAGGCAUAAAUUUAUAGUUAUAUGUUGUGUGUAAAUAAAAAAGACGCUAAUUUAAUCGGUCAUAAUUUACUUUGCCCGUGUCCUUCCAUGCUUAUGGUCUUCACUAGAUCAGAAACAAGAUCCCCUCAGUGCUCCAGGAAGGAAAAACAACAUUUCAAGCCAUGUGUUUCUUUUGAAAUCUAACCAGGCGUGACAGUCUGACUCAGGUCACAAAAGUUUAUUUGACCUCCUCUUAAAUAGUAAGACCGAGGUCAGUGCCAACAAAGCUACUGGGGCAGAGCAGGUCAAGAGUUAGGGCAGAACUCAUUUGCCUGAACUCAACUCAGCAGUUCACUGUCUUCAGAAUUUUGCUUCUAAUUAAGCGUGCAUCUAUUUUUAAUAGCUGCAAAGAGGUGAUGAUAAGUGAGGAGGUUGUGGUUGUUUUUCUAGAUCACAGGGCCAUAGCAGUUCUGUUUCUGUGCUAUUUUUUUCCUUUUUUUAACAAAAUGUUCUAAAACAAGUGAGUGUGAAAGCUGCUUUCUUCUGUUAACCAGAUGGUCGGAGGAUUACUCAGCUAGUUGACAACAUCCCUGUGGGUUUGCAGAAUCAGGUUGACAUGCGUUAUAUCACCUUUGUAAUUAACAGGAUCAUAAUGUUCUUCCCAAUAGCUCCCUGUUGUCAGCGGGUCGUGUCGUCAACAGUGACACCUGGCUUCAAGAUUCAUCAACCGGAAAUAGGCUCUAAACUGUUCAAAGUUCCCAUUUCAUACCUUUAAGGAGAAUUUCUGAUUCACUUCUUGAUAAAGAUAUGUUCACAAAAAUGAGUCUAACCAUACUCUAUUGUCUUUUGUAAGGCAUUUUAUUGUAAAAUAAAUAAAUAAAAAAAGUUAGUAUUGACACACAAACACCAGAAUCAUUAAAAACACAAAAGCAUCACAGCAUUACCAAAAGAAAAAUGUUUUAUAUUUCACACAACUUUAUUUAAAAUAUCUGCUUAGUACAAGUUAUCAAAAACAUUGUUACGAGCAUUAAGUAAAACAAUAUCAAAAUAGUUUUUACUGAAACUCUCUACGAGGAGAAAUAAUAAAGCUACAGAGUCUGAGUGAAAACAGUGGUUCCUCACAUUGAUUUUAAAAACAGAAAACUCUUGGAAAUUAGAUAUACUGUACUUCAUUAUUUUAUUACAUUUACGAAAUUGUACUACAGCUGUUGUAAGAGAUUUGGGCCAAAUAAAUCCACUUUUAUGAUUUGUUUUAAAACACAACUAUUUAAAUUAAUACAUAUUUCUCUAUGCAUGUCGUGACAAGAUAAAACUAAAGUAUUACAAUUGACCUACAUGAGAUCUACAUAAUAAAAUUCAACAAUUGCACAACUCAUUUCUCACACCACACAUUCUACAAAUGUUAAAAUUAUUCAUCAGCACAUUUAAGACCACAGUAUUAGGACUAAUGCUGAACAACAAGAUGAAACACUAAAAAGAGUGUAAUAACACUUUUAUUCAGUAACUUUUGGGGGGGGGAAAUCUGUACUAUUAAUUUUUGCUUGAGUAAUAUAAUUAAGAUUUGGUACUCUUACUUGAGUAAAAUUUCUGAAUACUCUACCCAUUAUAAGCAACUUCACUGAAUGACAAAACAAACAUGAUUUAACCAAAGAUACACCAGACUCAGAUACACACCUACAGAAUAUGUUGAAGUGAGACUUCUCAUUUUUACACCAGCUUUGUUGUUCAAAAGCCAUCUGCUGAACCAGUUGUGCCAUUUGAAGGUCAAGAAGACCCAGUAAACACUAGAUUUGUCACUGGAAGUACUUUACUUUACCCCGUCAUUAUCUACUAUAAGUGUUAAUUUCAUAGGUUUUAUAUUGACAAAAAAAUAUUUUGAAAAGGUAUUUCUCAUGCGUUUAUCUUUUUGCAACUAUGUUAUGUAUUUGUAGUGAUGUUUCUUCAUUUGGGUAUGCUAUUCACCUCUGGAGACAAGUAAAGAACAUAUAUGGUGAAAAUAAUAAUGAGAAAAUGAGACACAGCUUGCUCUGCAGUAGAAGCAUUCUUACUUAUAUUUUAGAAGCAAAAACAUCACAGAUAGUUUUUGCAUAAAAUACAUCAGGCUUUCCUGAGAACGUAGUCACUUCUUUGAAAUGUCAUUUAUUACAGAAAUGUACAGAAAUAUACACGAAGAUUAUAAAUGACCAAUUUUUGUUGGAAUGGUUCUGAUUGGAGAUAAACCGCUGAAAGGUCAGACACAAAAAAUAACUACAUUUGGAGAAACUCAAAAUAAUUCUUUGGUUCUGCAACUAAUAGCAUGUACUUUGGUGAACUUUAACACUGAAUAAGUAUCAAUGAACAUGUAGCUCUUCAAUUGGUUUAUGAAAGAACCUACAGCACAUAUUUUCUCUUUCAUAUGACAUAGUCUUUAGGAAAGAGAAAUUGGAAUAAGAGGUUCAGAAACCUAUAACCUAUAUUAAACCCAGAAAAACACUAACCAGUAUAAUGAUUAGUGUGCUAACCAGCAUAUGCUGCUAAUAAAACCGAGAAAAACCUUGAGACAAUCAGUGCGGCUCAAAAGUGUUUAAUAUAAAACAACUCUAUAAGAACACAAUGAUUCAGUAUCUUAUCACUGAAAUAAUGGAUUUUGAUAUCUUGACCCUUUCUCUUCCAUUUAAACUCUGAGAUACAAGGGGCCUGUAUCAUAUAUAUUUUAUCUCUGUCUAUGGUUCAGCUAAAUCAAAGAAUGGUUCAACAGCAGGCCUCUGCAAAACUUUGGCAUGCUGUGGAAGAAGUUAGACCAUUUGAAUCAGCUGUGUUUUAGUAUGGACACAUCUAAUGCCUUGUUACCACUGAGCGUGAUGGCACUGGUCAGAUUGGUUUAAUAUGCUACUUUGUGGUUCAAUUCAGGAGAGCUUUUCCACCACCAGUUUGAAAUGCUAUUUUGUCUGUUUCCCUGAUAAAACCAGUCGGUACAACCAAUCUGUACUGCCUCAUCCCUGGUCCUCCUUCAGUUGUAGGUUCAUAGAAUAAUGGUAUGGUACGGUUAGGGUGGAGCUACUGGGGUAGCUCAACACAAUUCAUUGAUUGGGUACAGAUAAAAAAGUCACUGUUUGACAAGAACAAGUGCGUCACGUUUGUUGUCAAACUGAUAUGACUCAACACUGGCGUUUGGAUUUAACCGUGCCUGCACUGAGGGUCCAACUGGUUGAGUACCUUGUCGCCGCGAUUGUUUGUCUUUGUACAUUUGCAGUUUUUCCAAAGUCCUUAGUAUUCAUUUUGCAGACGAUGAAAUCUAUGUCAAGUUUGGUCUUCUUGAGACUUAAGUAAAAAACUAAGCAAAUCCAAAUGUUUGCCUUCAACAAAAAUGGGGCAGGUUGAACCUCUUUCAUUUUUGUGGUUUGCUUUUGGUUUUGGUGCUCUCUGUGCAUGAGUAUGCUCCAAAACCAGUUGCAUGGUGAUGUUAAUACGUUCCACAUAAAUAUAGGAGGCCGACAACAAGUGGAUUUGUUUCAUUUUUAAAAACCAAUUUUAGGAUAUUUUAUAUCGAUUUUGAAUCAUAGUACAGUAAAUGAAAACUGAGCUUCUUAUGCAAAUCGAUUUACAGGUACACCCCUCGUGGAAACGCUCUUCUGAAUCAACUGGACCGUAAAGUAGCAUACUGAACCACACCAACAAGUGUUGUAUCACUCAGUGGAAAUGAACCUGUUAGGACACUGGCACUUGAAGACUCAAGAUGAACACCCAUGGCCUAAUUGGUGCGCUUCCAGAGAACAGGAGUAAUUUUAUCCAUUACGAUUAUUUACACUUCAAAUACUUCAUGUUAUUGCUUCAAACAAAAAACAAAAAUAACAUAUAAAAAGAACCCUUUGACUCAGAAUGAAAAAAAAUGUGUCUGAAUCAGUAACAUGGAAAGUACCUUGACCUACAGUCAUGUUGAAGCCUUUCUUACUUUAUCUCAUCUACGUGUCAAAUAUACCUUUGCAUAAACCACCAAACAUUUUUUCUAGUUUUAGGUCAUGCUUAUAACACCAACUAUGCAUGCAUACUCACAAACAUUUUGAUUAUGUUUAAUAACCUAGGUUCCCACUAGGAGCGUGCUUUAAUUGUCAGAAUUUACAGGUGAUUCAAUGUACUAUAAACAUCUCAGCUUAGACUAUAAAUUAGACUACCAGGAAACUGCAGGAACAUUUAUGUGUCAGGGGAGAUUCCUUAAUGUUUGUCUAUCAUUUUUUACUAAGAAACUGUUACACAAAAUGUUGCUACUUGAUUUAAAGACAUAAUUUUACCCUUAAUACUUUAGUGGCCUUGUGUAUAUACGUAUAUAUAUAUAUAUAUAUAAAACCCUUUGACACACGCACACACAAAUAACAUUUUAAUAAAUGUGUUUUGACACACACACACACACCCCUAUAUAUACUUAUAUAUAUAUAAGUGUGUAUGUGCGUGUGUCAAAACACAUUUAUUAAAAUGCUAUUUAUUAAUAAAAUGGAAAUGUAUUAAAUAACCCCAUGGUCACCACUUUUUUGGCAAAGUGUUUUUUGUUACUAACACGUAGGACACCAUGCCAGUACAAGUUAAUAUUUCAGAUUAGACUAAGUUCUUUGAUUAAUCAUAAAUCAG